CCUACGGGAGGCAGCAGUAAGGAAUAUUGGUCAAUGGGCGCAAGCCUGAACCAGCCAUGCCGCGUGCAGGAAGACGGCCCUAUGGGUUGUAAACUGCUUUUGAACAAGAGAAAACCUCGGUACGUGUACCGAGCUGAUAGUAUUGUUAGAAUAAGCAUCGGCUAACUUCGUGCCAGCAGCCGCGGUAAGACGAAGGAUGCAAGCGUUAUCCGGAUUCAUUGGGUUUAAAGGGUGCGUAGGCGGCCUGAUAAGUCAGUGGUGAAAUCUCUCAGCUUAACUGAGAAACUGCCAUUGAUACUGUCGGGCUUGAGUACAGAUGAUGUGGGCGGAAUAUGACAUGUAGUGGUGAAAUACUUAGAUAUGUCAUAGAACACCGAUUGCGAAGGCAGCUCACAAAACUGUAACUGACGCUGAGGCACGAAAGUGCGGGGGAUCAAACAGGAUUAGAUACCCUGGUAGUCCGCACCGUAAACGAUGAUUACUCGUUGUUGGCAUAUGACCGUCAGCGACCAAGCGAAAGCGANANANACACGNGGNGAGCGCGACGAGAGUAAGUAGAGUAGAGCGNGAGAGNGCGACGGACGACGACGAGGGAGGAGG
rnacentral:rRNA from 1 species